CCUACGGGCGGCUGCAGUGAGGAAUAUUGGUCAAUGGGCGAGAGCCUGAACCAGCCAAGUCGCGUGAGGGAAGACGGUCCUAUGGAUUGUAAACCUCUUUUGUCGGGGAGCAAAAAGGCCUCGUGAGGCCACAAGUGAGAGUACCCGAAGAAAAAGCAUCGGCUAACUCCGUGCCAGCAGCCGCGGUAAUACGGAGGAUGCGAGCGUUAUCCGGAUCUAUUGGGUUAAAAGGGUGAGUAGGCGGACUGGAAAGUCAGCGGUAAAAGCGAUGGGCUCAACCUCUUUCCGCCGGUAAAACUGUUGAUCUUGAGUGGGCGAGAAGUAUGCGGAAUGCUUGGUGUAGCGGUGGAAUGCAUAGAUAUACCGCAGAACUCCAAUUGCGAAGG
rnacentral:rRNA from 1 species